UGGAAAUCCAAAAGAAAUAGAAAGGGUAGUAACAAGUUGAGUUACUGGAAUUCAACAAUUGCUGCUUUCUGCCUUUGAAUGUAAUAUGACCAGGGUCUCAUGUUCCGGUGUUCCAGCCUUCCUUCCACCAUGAUUGUGCUCCACCUUAACUAUAUCACAAACUUCAAUCAAAAAGUAGAAGUAACAGCAGCAACCUGCAAGCCAAAUCAGACACAGAGUCCUUCCAGAAGUCAAAGAUCAAGAAAGGCAAGACGUCUGUGGGUCACAAGAAGCCAAAGAUGCCUUAGAGUAGCUGCAUGCUACUAAGAAACCAGUAGCUGAGAAGGAGCCAGCAGAGAAAAAACAUACUGCAAGAGAAAAGUGUUCUGCAGAAAUCAUCAAAAUCUGUUUCAUCCAUAGAGAAAACCUUCAACCUAUUUGAAUAAAAAUCUGAUCAAAGACAUAAUGAGAAACAAAAUAAAUGAAUAAAACAAUGCAAAGUGCUCAAUAACAAGAAAACUGCAAUUAUAUUUGGGCAAAUGUUAUGAAUAAAUAGUUUUCAAGAGAAAA